GGAAAGACCAUGUGAGGACACAGAGAGAAGGUGGCCAUGUGUAAGCAAACCAAGGAGAGGCCUCGGAAGAGACCAGACCAAUGCACACCCUGGUGUUGGACUUCCAGCCUCCAGAACUGAUGAUUUCACUGGAUAAUGUUCUCCAGGUCCAUCUAUGCUGUUGCAAAAGGAGCUCAGUGAAAAGGCCAUGUAAUGAAUGACUGCAGCGAGGAGGUACUCACCAGCAAGCUAGGAGAGUCCUCACCAGAAGCCAAACCCUGCCAGGCCUUGAUCUGGAACUUCUAGCCUCCAGAACUCUGAGAAACAAAUUUCUGCUGUUUAAGACACUCAGCCUAUGUUCUUCAUUAUGGCAGUAUAAGCAGACAAAUGCACUUAUUUUCUAAGUCCUGGAUCUGGGGGUAGUCAUAAAUUAAUGAGGUAUAUGCAGCAAUUUUAUAUGAAGGUGGAAUAUUAUUUUACAAUGUUAAAUAAGUAAUUCUCAUACUUUUAAUAUGUAUAAUAUAUAACCAUAUAUCUAGAUGAAAUGCGAAGCAUGACAUAGAGUCUUUUCCCCCAAUUUUAUUAAGGUAUAAUUGACAAACUUUAUAUAUUUAGUAUAUGAUGUGAUUAUCUGGUUUAUGAAUACAUUAUAAAAUGAUUACCGCACCAAGUUAAUUAACGCAUUCAUCAUCUCACAUAAUUUAUUUAUGUAUUUAUUUACUUAUCUAUGAGAAUGCUUAAGAUUUACUCUAAAAAUUAUGUAUAUAAUACAGUGUUACUAAGUAUAGUUUUCAUGCUGUCCAUCGGUCCUCAGAACUUACUCAUUUUAUAUGUGAAAGACCAAUGUCUGCCCAUUUUUCUCAGCCCUCAGCCCCUGGCAAUCUCCUAUUCUCUUCUCUGCUUUUAAGAGUUUGACUUUUUCUUUUCUGACCCUGUAUAUAAGGAAUAUCAACCAGAAUUUGUUUUUUCCCACUGCAUUGAUUCUUUGCAUUGCCAGCUGCAUGAACACUGAACAUUUUGACUCUGAAUGGUUUCAUUUUUAUAAAAAUAUUUAGUAUGAUACUAUUACAUUUUCAAAAAUUAAAUUAAAAUUGUAAUUUUA